AAAAAUUUAGUUAAAUUUAUAACAUUAGCUUGUCAAGUUGAAGUAAAUACUAAGUAUUAAUUUUUG
rnacentral:tRNA from 1 species